rnacentral:sRNA from 1 species
UGUUAGCCCUGAUAGUAGCGGCAUCCUUUUAUUUUCUUUUAAAAUAAAAGAUAUAGCGAAUAGCAGGAGGUUUA